rnacentral:rRNA from 1 species
GACGAACGCUGGCGGCGUGCUUAACACAUGCAAGUCGAACGGGGCGAAGUGAUAGCUUGCUAUUAUGGAGCCUAGUGGCAAACGGGUGAGUAACGCGUAGGCAACCUGCCCUUCAGAUGGGGACAACACCUCGAAAGGGGUGCUAAUACCGAAUGACGUUUCCUGGUCGCAUGACCUGGAAACCAAAGGCCGGGGCAACCGGUCACUGAAGGAUGGGCCUGCGUCUGAUUAGCUAGUUGGUGGGGCAACGGGCCCACCAAGGCGACGAUCAGUAGCCGGACUGAGAGGUUGAACGGCCACAUUGGGACUGAGACACGGCCCAGACUCCUACGGGAGGCAGCAGUGGGAAUAUUGCACAAUGGGCGCAAGCCUGAUGCAGCAACGCCGCGUGAGGGAAGACGGUCUUCGGAUUGAAACCUUUGCUUUGGUGAAGAAGAAAGUGACGGUAGCCAAGGNGAAGCACGGCUAACUACGUG